rnacentral:rRNA from 1 species
UAGAGUUUGAUCCUGGCUCAGAACGAACGCUGGCGGCGCGCCUAAUACAUGCAAGUCGAACGAGAAGGUGUAGCAAUACACUUGUACAGUGGCGAACGGGUGAGGAAUACAUGGGUAACCUACCCUCGAGUGGGGAAUAACCAGCCGAAAGGUUGGCUAAUACCGCGUACGCUUCCGGGUCUGCGGAUUCGGAAGGAAAGUCAUACCGUGGGUAUGACGCUCAAGGAUGGGCUCAUGUCCUAUCAGCUUGUUGGUAGGGUAACGGCCUACCAAGGCAACGACGGGUAGCUGGUCUGAGAGGACGAUCAGCCACACUGGCACUGCGACACGGGCCAGACUCCUACGGGAGGCAGCAGUAAGGAAUAUUGCGCAAUGGGCGAAAGCCUGACGCAGCGACGCCGCGUGGGGGAUGAAGGUCUUCGGAUUGUAAACCCCUUUCGGGAGGGAAAAUGGGACGGGCAACCGUCCGGAUGGUACCUCCAGAAGCAGCCACGGCUAACUUCGUGCCAGCAGCCGCGGUAAUACGAAGGUGGCAAGCGUUGUUCGGAUUUACUGGGCGUACAGGGAGCGUAGGCGGUUUGGUAAGCCCUCCGGGAAAUCUUCGGGCUUAACCCGGAAAGUUCAGAGGGGACUGCCAGGCUAGAGGACGGGAGAGGAGCGCGGAAUUCCCGGUGUAGCGGUGAAAUGCGUAGAGAUCGGGAGGAAGGCCGGUGGCGAAGGCGGCGCUCUGGAACGUAUCUG